rnacentral:rRNA from 1 species
CCUACGGGAGGCAGCAGUGAGGAAUAUUGGUCAAUGGGCGUAAGCCUGAACCAGCCAAGCCGCGUGAGGGAUGAAGGUUCUAUGGAUCGUAAACCUCUUUUAUAAGGGAAUAAAGUGCGGGACGUGUCCCUUUUUGUAUGUACCUUAUGAAUAAGGAUCGGCUAAAUCCGUGCCAGCAGCGGCGGUAAUACGGAGGAUCCGAGCGUUAGCCGGAUUUAUGGGGUUUAAAGGGUGCGUAGGCGGCCUUUUAAGUCAGCGGUGAAAGUCUGUGGCUCAACCAUGGAAUUGCCGUUGAAACUGGGAGGCUUGAGUAUGUUUGAGGCAGGCGGAAUGCGUGGUGUAGCGGUGAAAUGCUUAGAUAUCACGCAGAACCCCGAUUGCGAAGGCAGCCUGCCAAGCCAUGACUGACGCUGAUGCACGAAAGCGUGGGGAUCAAACAGGAUUAGAUACCCUUGUAGUC